AUGGGAAAAAAAAAAAAAAGACUGGACUGCUCAUUGGCCACCAAAAUGAAGUCACCAUCCGCCAUCUUGACACUCCUAAAACAACCACGCUGACCUGUGCAGGAACAGUUUGGUGGCUGUGAAAAAAAUUUCCACAGGUGCCAAACUCACGGCCCCGCCACACGAUUCGUGUGGCCCGCGGAGGCAAGUCAUCCGUGUGGACUUCCAUGCAAUCACCUUGACCUCCUGCCAGUAGGGCCCCCCUCUGGUGUACAGGAAGUAGUUGUAAAUGUCGUCUUUUUGGUGCGAGAAGUACGUCUCGGCGGCGAUGUUGAUCAUCCACGGCCGGCCGUCGCCUCGCACGCGCAGG